rnacentral:rRNA from 1 species
GAUAACCCGCUGAACUAAGCAGAGGGAUACGAGGAGGAGAAGAAACUAACAAGGAUUCCGAUAAUAACUGCGAGUGAAUAGGGAAGAGCUCCGAUUUAUUUCUGGUGUGCCUACGGUCGUCUGACUUGCAGACUGGCCUCUGGUUUUCCGUGUUGGACGGUGUAUUAAUCUCUUGGAACGGGGCGUCAUAGAGGGUGAGAAUCCCGUCUUUGACACGGACUACCAACGCUUUGUGAUGCGCUCUCAAAGAGUCGAGUUGUUUGGGAAUGCAAUUCAAAAUGGGUGGUAAAUUCCAUCUAACUCUAAAUAUAUGUUGAGAGACCGAUAGCGAACAAGUACCGUGAGGGAAAGAUGAAAAGCACUUUGGAAAGAGAGUUAAACAGUACGUGAAAUUGCUGAAAGGGAAACGCUUGAAGUCAGUCCCGUCGACCGAGACUCAGCCUUGCCUCGGCUUGGUGUACUUCUCGGCCCGACGGGUCCUUUCAAUUUUGCCCCUCGAAUAAUGGCAUAGGAAAGGUGGCACCUUUACGGGUGUGUUAUAGUCUCCUGUCGCAUGCGAGGGGUGGGAUUGAGGAACUCAUUGCGCACCUCACCGUCCGGGCUUCUGCCCACGUGACGCGCUCUCGAUGCUGGCGCUUGGCUUUUUCGACCCCGUCUUGAAACACGGACCAAGGAGUCCAACUCGCCUGCGAGUGUUCGGGUGGAAAACCCGUGCGCGUAAUUAAAGUGAAAGUUGCUACCUCUGUCGUGGAGGGCACCGACGCCCGGACCAGACCUUCUGUGACGGAUCUGCGGUAGAGCGUGUGUGUUGCGACCCGAAAGAUGGUGAACUAUGCCUGACUAGGGUAAGCCUGAGGAAACUCUGGUGGAGGCUCGUAGCGAUUCUGACGAGCUAUCGAUCGUCAAUUUGGGUACAGGGGCGAAAGACUAAUCGAACCAUCUAGUAUCUGGUUCCUGCCGAAGUUUCCCUCAG